rnacentral:rRNA from 1 species
UACGUAGGGUGCGAGCGUUGCCCGGAUUUAUUGGGCGUAAAGGGCGCGUAGGCGGCCACGCACGUCCGUUGUGAAAUCGCCCGGCUCAACUGGGCGGGGUCAGCGGAUACGGUGUGGCUCGAGCAAGCUAGGGGGCAAUGGAAUUCCCGGUGUAGUGGUGGAAUACGUAGAUAUCGGGAGGAACACCAGUGGCGAAGGCGGUUGCCUGGAGCUUUGCUGACGCUGAUGCGCGAAAGCGUGGGGAGCGAUCCGG